GUGCCAGCAGCCGCGGUAAGACAGAGGCCUCAAGCGUUAGGCGGAAUCACUGGGCUUAAAGCGUGUGUAGGCGGGUCGUUAAGUACCUUGUGAAAUCCCACGGCUCACCCGUGGAACGGCUGGGUAUACUGGCGAUCUUGGGCCAACUAGGGGCGACUGGAACAAGCGGUGGAGCGGUGAAAUGCGUAGAUAUCGCUUGGAACGCCGAAGGUGAAAACAGGUCGCUGGGGUUGUGCCGACGCUGAGACACGAAAGCCAGGGGAGCAAACGGGAUUAGAUACCCCAGUAGUCC
rnacentral:rRNA from 1 species